AUAAUUUGUUAGCCGUCAAUACCGAGAAAGAAAUGAAAUAAGCUUUAUUCCUGUGGCCAAUUCUGAGGUUUGGGACUCGGUUGAAAAUUCAGAUACAGAGAAGAGAACUUUGAGCGGGGAAAUGAAGUUGAUUAGUAUGCAUCAUGAGUGAUCGAGCGAGUGGUAGAUUGAUUAGGGUUAGCCUAGAUGGAUGUAUAUUCAUGGUUCCGACGAAGCCUUUCUAGAACUACAAAGACCACUACCACAACUGUCACUGCUCAACCGGACGACGAACUACUCUACGGCGUCACUGAUCAAUUACUCGAUUUUAUCAAAUCCUUCUCCAUUGACACCUUUCGAAACUUCUCUCUCCCAAAUGAGGACGAUGGAGAUACUCCCGAGAAUGUACGGAGAGAUCUAUCUGAUUGGCAACAACGUCAUGCUUUGCUUGUUCUCUCCAAACUCAAGGAACUCUCACAAUUGAGGUUCAAAUUAUGUCCGCGUUUUUUAAAGGAUCACCAAUUUUGGACAGUAUAUUUUGCUCUCGUUAAGGAUUUUGUUGCCAAAUAUGAGCUUCGUGCUAUACAAUUAGAUAAGCUCAAACAGAUGAGAUUGGAAAGUGAAAAUACACCAGAUGUUACUGCAUGCGAAGUUGAGAUGUCUGAAGCGAAGAGAACAACGGAUGUAUCACCAACAAUUUCUGAGGAUCACAAUUAGUAUCUCCUUUGGAUAUGUCACUAGUUAUCAGAAAAGGGAACAUAUUUGCAAAUUUGGCGUGUCAUGUGACAACUUCUACUAUACCUGCAUCACUGGAAUUGAUAAUCUGAUGGUGCAGACUUCUCUGCCGCAUGGCUGGACAAUGGGUGCAAGUUACAAGGUGAUUUAUAGUUCUGUGAAUGCAUAGAAGAUCAGAUCUCAUAGGAUUAAUCUUAGGUUGGUUAAAUACAUUUUCAUGUUGGUUAAGUAUAAGCUUAUCUUAAUGUUACUACUUGGAGCACCACUCUUCCUGUCUGACCUUAAUUUAUUAAUGGUACUAGCUUGAUAAUCUCAAAUGUUGGGAGAUUAUGUGUCAAAUGAAUGUCUCUGACCUUGCUGUGUUGAAUUCUGGUCUUUUAUGUUUGUGUUGCUUCUCGA